AUGGGGUGUGGUUUCUAACAAUUAAAUUUUGUGAGUUAAAAGUAUGUGGUUUUUAUGAGUUACUAAGGUGUAAUUUGUUAUUUUUAUUUUUUGUGAGUUAUCGGGGAGUAAUUUGUUACUAGUAUUAGCAAGAUGGCACAGUCGGUGUCGUGUAACGUAAAAAAACAAGGUCAAGAACGACCACUGUAUAAAUUAGUGGAUAUGAAAGGUGGAGGAGAACUGAUAGAAUUAAUGAAACUGGCUUCAUGCAAUCACGAUUAUUAUACGUUAGACAACGAAAUAAAAAAAAUAUGGAAAUAUCUGUACGCUGAUGGAGAUGGACUAUUUGUAGAUAUAUCCGAAGUAAUCGAAUACAGGAAAUCCCAGAGUAAAAAUCUACCACAAGAAGAGAAAUUUCCUGCAAACAAAAAAACAACACGACCCGAUUCGGGUAAACAACGUGAAUUGUGUUGGAAAUUGGACGAACGUGGUACGGUAGGCGAGACGAUCCUUCACCUGUGUUUCUUGAACCCAACCCAGACUCACAGAGAACUGGCCAAACGUUUAAUGGACAUUUACCCCAAUCUGGUGAAAGAUAUCUACAAUGGUGACGAAUACUACGGCGAGAAUGUACUUCACAUGGCGAUUGCAAAUGAGGAUAGUGAAAUGGUGAAGUUUGUUUUAGAUAAAGGGGCUGAUUGUCGAGCCAGAGCCUGUGGACGAUUCUUCUUUCCUGAAGAUCAGAAAAAAUCCCGAACUGAUGAUCCACCUAAUGAAUUGAUCAAGGUCUCGACAAAAACAAACUAUAAGGGCAACGCGUACUUCGGAGAAUAUCCUCUCAGUUUUGCUGUAAGUUUACAUAAACCAUGUUCAGAUUCAGACAAAUCAAGUUCAGGUUCCGACAAUCAAGAUUAUAUUUCAUGGAUUCUAGAGAAAGAUAAAGAAAGAAAGAGGCCGAACCAUCUACCGCUGACUCGCUUACAAGAUUCUAAUGGUAAUACGGUAUUACAUAUGGCCGUUAUACACGAUAAAAAGGAAUUGCUUCAACGUUUAAAGAAUGAAGGUGCAGAUCUGAGCAUAAAAAAACAAUCAAGGAUUAACACCGUUAACACUGUCAGCAAAACUGGCCAGAAAGGCGGUGGGAUAAUUAUCAAUUCUUCUGACAAGAAACGUACCAGUAAAAGGGUUAUUUUUGUUUGCUUGCUCGAUGGUGGUCGUUGUGUUGUUACCACUACGGUUUUCCUGCCAACCUCUUGUCGAAGAUUGUGCCGCAGUUUUUGUUAUUCUCCUGACCACCCCAUAUUUUCUCUUCCUCUGUCAAGGGUUCAAAUUAAUGGGUCCGUAUGUCGUUAUGAUUUAUAAAAUGAUAAGGAGGGAUUUACUACGUUUUGUGAUAAUUUACGGCAUUUUUGUGAUUGGUUUCUCACAAGCCAUGUUUUUGGUAUUUAGACGUACCCAUACUGACAAUCAGUUCCGGACAUUCCUGGAAGCCCACAUGGGUAUGUUCAUCAUGUCUGUAGGAAAGUUUGAAGAUAUUUACGAAACUUUUCAAGAUUCGAAACAUGAAGCCAUUGGAAAGACAGUGUUUGUGGUUUAUAUGUUAUUGGUGACUCUGUUAUUAAUCAAUAUGUUAAUUGCUAUGAUGGCCAAUACGUAUGAUGAGAUAGCUAGUACCAAGAAAGAAUGGUUUAGACAGUGGGCAAGGAUGGUUUUAAUUAUGGAAGAAAAUUUGGGCAAUGCAUCACGGUUAAAGUAUCAGAAAUCAUAUUCUCAACAAAUGAACGAGUCUCGACUCGUCUUUGUAGAUCGAUGUCGACAGAGUUCAAAAUCAUAAUGGUAUGAUCGUUGGGAUACAGUCAACUAGUGAAUAUUAUUGACAUUAUCAUUUGGCUACAUGUCGUGUCCAAGGCACAGUAUACUACAACUACAACGUUUCAUUAUUUUAGGAUUUAGUGACAAAUACUGCCUAAAACAGAGUUUUUUUGGUAUGGCCAAUUUCUUCACUCUACUAGAAUUUUGCUGGAACAGAGCUGUGUUGACGGGCCUUGUACCCUGAAUACACUCUACUCUAGGGUCUUGUUUAAUAAAGGGAGCUGUGAACGUUAAUUCACACUCAACUCCCAUGUCUGGAUCCCCAUGUGAUAUUAGGGACACUAGAAUUGACUUUUAUUGUGACGUGUGGUGGCUUUAAUCUCUGUAUAUGUACUAUGUAUAUGUUUAUUCUAGUGUGGGGGCGUUAACCUCUAUAUAUGAACAUAGGCGUAUGAGCUGGGGGGCUGGGGGGCGACCGCCCCCCCAUUUUGGGCACCAAAUGCUGGAAAAAUUUGGGCACACAAUUGUACUUUGUAAAAGUUGUAUAAAAUAAUAUUGAGUUCUUGAAUGUGUCCAAUUUAACAGCGAAUUUGUUAUUAUUAUGUAACAUACUAAGAACCUAACUACAUUUUUUGGGCACCAACCACCACCGCCCCCCCCCCCCCCCAGUCAAAAAUUUACCCGUACGCCUAUGUAUAUGAACAUGUACUAUGCAUAUUUAUAUGUUUAUUCUAGCGUGGGGAUAUGAACUAUGUAUGUGUAUAUAUGUUUAUUCUAGUGUGGGGGCGUUAACCCCUGUAUAUGUACUAUGUAUAUCUAUAUGUAUAUUCUAGUGUGAGAGUUUUAAUCUCUUAUGUGUGUCUAUAUGUUUAUUCUAGUGUAUAUUGUGGUUUUAAUUUUAACAAUUAUUUGUUUACCAUUGUUUAAAAUUGUUCACCCCGGGCUCAAAAGUAUCCAGUAAUCAAACUGAUUAUCUAUAGGCUUACUUACCAUUCUGAACCACUGAACCAGACUGGAACCCACAUCAUCCAUCAAUUUAUUCUUCACAUUUAUCACCUUUUAAUGUCAACUCCAAAAGAAUCUGGGGGCAGGGGAUUUCGCCCAGGCAGUCAGACAUUUUUUAAGAUGAAUCUACUCAAGCUUCUUUAUGAAAAUCGGGGUGCUGGAUGGCUGAAUGGUUAUUACGUGUGCGCCGUAUAAGAUCAGACAUUGAGUCAUCUGGCGUGGUUUCGAUUCCCCGGUUGUAUGUGACAAGGAGUAGGGUCGCUUGUCCAACCUCGUGGGUUUUCUCUGGGUCCUGCGGUUUCCUCCCACUGCUAAAGUCCCCUACUAGCA